AGUUGUGGCUGCUCCUGAGCUGACACUAACUGCUCAUGACUCCUCUGUGGGAGAAGUAGGUGGUUUCCUAGAGGAAGAAGUUUGGGUAAUGAAGCCACAGAGAUUUGCUGAUACAUUUGCUAGGCACGACUUCUGGUCAUUUAGAAAGCUAUUUUGUGGCUUCAUCAAUAAGGUAUUCCCCAGCUGUGUUACUCCUUCGCAUUGUUAUCUCUUUCCCUGGAAUUGAAGGCUUCCUGGUCUGAGGCAAGGACAAUUAUUCCCUCACUGUCAACCCUGAUCUCUGGCUGCAGUAAUGAGUAGAGGAAAUGAAGAAAUAAGAAUGGAAGCAUAAUCAUUUGUCCGAGGUCACAGAGGGAGAUGAUUACACAGCUGGAAUUGACUUCGAGUACCAGCUUUCAAAUUUAUUUGACAUUGAAUCUAAGCUUUGUGACCAGUAUGUAGAAGGAGAAGAAGGGGAGGAAUUACUUAUCCUUUGGCAUACAUUAGCAUGCAAAUAAAUCCUUUCUCUGCAUUGUGGAAGGGUCUGAAAUUAUCACAUAUACAAUGUAUCUUUUAUCAAUGGCCUUGCAUACAAAUUUUACUUUGAAGAAUCCAGAUUUAGAGGUCUUCUCCAAACAUUUGCAUUGUUUCUUUUUCUUAGGAUCAGAACUUCUACCUAUUGUCAUUUUAAGAAAAAAGAUCAUGAAUUAAUUAAUUUAUUCAUUAUUUACACCCUUAUAUUCUUUCCCAAAUGUUUUAAUGUGGCUUACAUUGUAUACAUGUACACAAUAAAUAUUUAUAUUUAAAUAAGUUAUAAUCACAGAAUGAGAAUAUUAUUACAACCACUCAUACUCAUUCAAAUAGCUUGAUUAUAUCAUUGAGCUUUUCUUUUAGUUCUGGGUUUUUUGCUGCCUAGUUUAAAUCAGAAUGGCAUCUGAUUUAAUUAAUGGAAACUGAGUUUAUUUGAUUGAUGGAAACAAGAUGAUUUCAAGUGUGAUGCACUUUUUCUGUACUAACGUUUGAGAUACAUUUAUUACAACUGGCCACUUCAUAAUGGGCCAUAAGCAUUGUUUAAAGACAAUGGCUACUAUUGUUUGAAAGCUAAGGAAAGAUCCAAUGCUACCAGAUGUAUAUUGGCUGAGAAAUGAUCAGCUGAAACUACAGGCUGAAAUGCUGUAUAAGGUAGGCAAUAAAAUUAGAGAAUGUUUGCCGAACCCACUAAGCAGCAAAGAGGACCCAGCUUAGAAGUAAUGUAAAUUUUAAAGCUCUUUACCAGUGGCAAGCUAAUUUGAAAUAUUAGAAGUUAUUAUUUGUUUUAUGUUUCUCUCUCUAGCAGUAUAGUUUUUAACCGGCUUGUAAGAGCUCUUUUGUUAGUAAUGAUAUCAACCCUUCUUCUCUAAAUUAGUUGUUUGCUUAUUUACAAUUUCUGAAUUUUUCUCAAACAUGACAAUGAUUCUGAUGCAGUGGUUCUCAAUCAGGGGUAGUUUUGUACUCCAAGGGACAUUUUGGCAAUGUCUGGAGACAUUUUUGGUUGUCAGAACUAAGAGGACUGUGCUCUGGGCAUUUAGUGGUUAGAGGACAAGAGUGCUGCUAAACAUCCUAUAACGGACAGGGUGUCACCCACAACAAAGAAGUAUCCAACUCCAAAUGUCAAUAAUGCUGCAGCCGAAAAACCCUGGUCUAAGGAAUCAUCAUCCUGGUGUAUUUUUUUUUUCCAGUAGUUCGGAAGAAUGUGAAGAAUUCUCCCAGAAUUUUUCAAGAUAUUCCAAGUACCUAUUUAUUUUAUAAUCCUUGAAGACUUACUAAGUACCCAUAAACUGGUUGAGGAAAGCCAGUUUCAAAAUAAAUAUGAAAUCAUAUUUAUUUUUCUCUGAUUAAUCAAGGUCAUCAUGUUUUUAGAUGCCCUGCAAAGAAAACUGGUCAAAAUGUAAGACUGGCCCUCACAUUAAAUCAUCCAAACUAGUAACACUCCUCUAAAGGACUUCCCUCUUGGAACAUUCUUGACUUUCACAUAAU
rnacentral:lncRNA from 10 species